GACGAACCGUGCGAACGUUGUUCGGAAUCACUGGGCAUAAAGGGCGCGUAGGCGGCUCGCGAGGUCGGGGGUGAAAUCCCACAGCUUAACUGUGGAAGUGCCUUCGAUACCGGCGGGCUCGAGGGAGGUAGGGGUGCGCGGAACUUCUGGUGGAGCGGUGAAAUGCGUUGAUAUCAGAAGGAACGCCGGCGGCGAAAGCGGCGCACUGGAUCUCUACUGACGCUGAGGCGCGAAAGCCAGGGGAGCAAACGGG
rnacentral:rRNA from 1 species